AGAGUUUGAUCCUGGCUCAGAUUGAACGCUGGCGGCAUGCCUUACACACGCAAGUCGAACGGCAGCACGGGAGCAAUCCUGGUGGCGAGUGGCGAACGGGUGAGUAAUGUAUCGGAACGUACCUUUCAGUGGGGGAUAACGUAGCGAAAGUUACGCUAAUACCGCAUAUUCUGUGAGCAGGAAAGCAGGGGAUCGCAAGACCUUGCGCUGAUUGAGCGGCCGAUAUCAGAUUAGCUAGUUGGUGAGGAAAAGGCUCACCAAGGCGACGAUCUGUAGCGGGUCUGAGAGGAUGAUCCGCCACACUGGAACUGAGACACGGUCCAGACUCCUACGGGAGGCAGCAGUGGGGAAUUUUGGACAAUGGGGGCAACCCUGAUCCAGCCAUGCCGCGUGAGUGAAGAAGGCCUUCGGGUUGUAAAGCUCUUUCGGCCGGGAAGAAAUCGCAUGGGUUAAUACCCUGUGCGGAUGACGGUACCGGCAUAAGAAGCACCGGCUAACUACGUGCCAGCAGCCGCGGUAAUACGUAGGGUGCGAGCGUUAAUCGGAAUUACUGGGCGUAAAGCGUGCGCAGGCGGUUUUGUAAGACAGGCGUGAAAUCCCCGGGCUCAACCUGGGAACUGCGCUUGUGACUGCAAGGCUAGAGUAUGGCAGAGGGGGGUGGAAUUCCACGUGUAGCAGUGAAAUGCGUAGAGAUGUGGAGGAACACCAAUGGCGAAGGCAGCCCCCUGGGCCAAUACUGACGCUCAUGCACGAAAGCGUGGGUAGCAAACAGGAUUAGAUACCCUGGUAGUCCACGCCCUAAACGAUGUCAACUAGGUGUUGGGUGGGUAAAACCAUUUAGUACCGGAGCUAACGCGUGAAGUUGACCGCCUGGGGAGUACGGCCGCAAGGUUAAAACUCAAAGGAAUUGACGG
rnacentral:rRNA from 1 species